GCACGUGACGGCGGGCACGUGACGGCGGCGUCCGACGGGGCGCCGGUCGCCAUGUUGUUGGCGGGGGGCAGCCCGGCGUGGCGGCAGCGGUGGGAGCCCCAAACAGGCACAUUUGGGCAAAGGAUGAAAUACUUCAGAAGUCAUGUUUACAAAUCUUCAGUGAGAACCCCACAACUGUUAUGGAAAAGUCAGUAUUUGGAAGGUGAGUCAAUAUCUAGAAAUCAAAAGCUGAAAAUAACUUUCAGACUCUUCUCUCAGAUGUUUGUCAUUUUAUGCAACACUUCCCUUGACCUCUAGGGCAGCUGAAAUGCUGCAGUUUGACUUCAGUAUGUUGACCUUUCUCAGAGAGGUUGGCAAAAGCCCAGGGUGAGAUUGAAUUUCUUAAGAGCAUCUGCACAGUAUUAUUUCAUGUCAGUCCACGUGUUUUCUAUUAGGAAAAAAACCCAACAAAUAAGGUGCAUACACACAGCAAAUAUCCAUAUAGUCUAUUAAGAGGAAAUUAAUUUUCCUUAGAAGAUACAUUUUUACUACCUGCUUACAUUAGCCUCAGCUUUACUGCAUGACUUUGUCAUUUAUUUUGCAGUGUUUUAAUAAUAACUUUUUAAAAUCAGUAAUUAAAGUAUUUCAUAAAAAGAUCACGUAGGAAGUGACUUGACCAGCAAAGCAGCAGGAACAGAAGUUAGACUUCUUCCAUUUGUGUUCUCUACUCUGGGUAAAGUUUCUUUAAUUUGUAGCUUCAUUUUUCAGAGUUAUGUUUCUUUAGUGUAAAAUUGCCACACUCACAUUUGGCACAAAUUGUACCUCAUCGUCUGAGAAGCAGUGCGAUUUCCUUUAGUUCACAGACUUCAGGUCCACUGGCCAGACACUACAACAACCUGCUUUACCCCAUUCCUGCUCACUCAGCCGUGCCAGAGACAGCAGCGUUAGCAUUGCACAUCACCCUCUGGAACACUUGCCCCUAUGACUACUCAGAUUGUUCUGCGACACAGAAAGACACAGCUGAGGUUUGCUUUCCAACAAAAUAAAGUAUGGAAAAACAAAAAGUGAAAUAUAACACCACGGCUUUUUGAAAUUCUGUUGAUUUGAUGUGAGAAAUAAGAACUUGAUCCAUUCCGCAGCAAUAGCAAGUCUUUCUUCAUGUAAGCUCUUAGGAAGAUCCGCUGGUUAACUGACAAUGGAGGGGGAAAACAUGCAUCUGGAGAUGGGCUCUGAAGCAACAUGGCCCCGACUGGGAGAUUCUGGAAAGCCAGAUUUUAUUUUAAUAUUUAAAACAUAGAAGGAUCUUUCACUGAUCAUUCAAGUCUUCUUUUGGAGUCAGUUCUCCAUUUUUUUUAAUAGCAACAGAAGACUGCAUAUUCUAGCAUUCAAAAAUGUAUUAGUGAAGAUUUUUCAACAUAAAAUCUAAAACUACAGUUGUUGGCUGAAUAUCAGUUAUAGGGCUGAGAUUCUAUUUACCCAAGUGCUUUUUUAGCUUAAAAAAACCCCAAACUUGCUUGUUUUAAUAAACCAGACAGUGAACCAUAAAUAUACAGAUUCUCACCAGCUGAUUGCAUUUAAUUUACUCUGUAAGUCUGCAUUUGCUUUCUAGUAUCUAAAAAAAAAAAGUAUAUAAUCUCUCAUUUUCAAAGCAUUACAUAUUUAUCUUUCUCAAGGAUGGAGGAGUCCAGGCUAACUUAAAUAAUGUAAUCUUUCCUAUUUACCCAACAAGGAAUUAAUUUGCCUUUAUAAAUUAUUCCCCACAAGUCCCUGAUAAUUCUUAUGGGCCCUUUCCUGAAGUUUAAAUUGAAGGCUUCAGAUUAACCUUUAACCUCAGCCAUUUAGCAGAAAACUGUAGAGAAAGUCUAUUUUAAAUAUU